rnacentral:snRNA from 1 species
GUACUCGCUUCGGCGGUACAUAUACUAAAUUUGGAACGAUAAAGAGAAGAUUAGCAUGGCCCCUGCGCAAGGAUGACACGCAAAACCGUGAAGCGUUCCACAUUUUU